UACGUAGGGCGCAAGCGUUGUCCGGAAUCAUUGGGCGUAAAGAGCUCGUAGGCGGCCUGUUGCGUCCGCUGUGAAAACCCAGGGCUCAACCCUGGGCCUGCAGUCGAUACGGGCAGGCUAGAGUCCGGCAGGGGAGACUGGAAUUCCUGGUGUAGCGGUGAAAUGCGCAGAUAUCAGGAGGAACACCGGUGGCGAAGGCGGGUCUCUGGGCCGGAACUGACGCUGAGGAGCGAAAGCGUGGGGAGCGAACAGG
rnacentral:rRNA from 1 species